rnacentral:rRNA from 1 species
GAACGAUGAACACCGGAGCUUGCUCUGGUGGGAUUAGUGGCGAACGGGUGAGUAACACGUGAGCAAUCUGCCCCCGACUCUGGGAUAACCCCGAGAAAUCGGAGCUAAUACCGGAUACGACACCUCCUGGCAUCAGGUGGGUGUGGAAAGAAUUUCGGUUGGGGAUGAGCUCGCGGCCUAUCAGCUUGUUGGUGAGGUAAUGGCUCACCAAGGCGACGACGGGUAGCCGGCCUGAGAGGGUGACCGGCCACACUGGGACUGAGACACGGCCCAGACUCCUACGGGAGGCAGCAGUGGGGAAUAUUGCACAAUGGGCGCAAGCCUGAUGCAGCAACGCCGCGUGGGGGACGACGGCCUUCGGGUUGUAAACCUCUUUUGGCAGGGAAGAAGCGAAAGUGACGGUACCUGCAGAAAAAGCACCGGCUAACUACGUGCCAGCAGCCGCGGUAAUACGUAGGGUGCAAGCGUUGUCCGGAAUUAUUGGGCGUAAAGAGCUCGUAGGCGGUGUGUCACGUCUGCUGUGAAAAUCCAAGGCUCAACCUUGGACUUGCAGUGGGUACGGGCACACUCGAGUGCGGUAGGGGAGAUUGGAAUUCCUGGUGUAGCGGUGGAAUGCGCAGAUAUCAGGAGGAACACCGAUGGCGAAGGCAGAUCUCUGGGCCGUAACUGACGCUGAGGAGCGAAAGCGUGGGGAGCGAACAGGAUUAGAUACCCUGGUAGUCCACGCCGUAAACGGUGGGAACUAGAUGUGGGGUCCGUUCCACGGAUUCCGUGUCGCAGUUAACGCAUUAAGUUCCCCGCCUGGGGAGUACGGCCGCAAGGCUAAAACUCAAAGGAAUUGACGGGGGCCCGCACAAGCGGCGGAGCAUGCGGAUUAAUUCGAUGCACGCGAAGAACCUUACCAAGGCUUGACAUAUAGAGGAAAAGUGCAGAGAUGCACUCCCCCGCAAGGUCUCUAUACAGGUGGUGCAUGGUGUCGUCAGCUCGUGUCGUGAGAUGUGGGUUAAGUCCGCAACGAGCGGCAACCCUCGUUCUUAUGUUGUCCAGCACGCUUUA